rnacentral:lncRNA from 1 species
AACUUUUUUGAUUCAUUAGUAUGUUAACAUUUAUUUUAAUCUAGCUUACCUUUUUACUUUUCAGAAUUACCAGUGAUUCCAAAAUCUGUCUUCCUUGCCCAGUUCUACUGGAAACCGGUGUAAAAUAGGUCUCCUGUUGCCAUGUUAAACCAGAAGUUUCUACUGUUUCUAAGAGACAGUCCCCAUCAUUCUUAUUGGAACUGCUCCUAGUGAAGUUGGUAAAAGCAGGCAGAGGCCAACAUUGAUUAACAGGACGUUGAACGGUGACAAGUUUUUGCAUAACUGACCCUGGGGUCUCAAUUUCCGGAAAGCAGUCUGCAUCCGCAGGUGAGGUCCCCAAGGUAGCUGCUAG